CCUACGGGGGGCUUCAGUAGGGAAUAUUGCUCAAUGGGGGAAACCCUGAAGCAGCAACGCCGCGUGGAGGAUGAAGGUUUUCGGAUUGUAAACCUCUUUUGUUAGAGAAGAUAAUGACGGUAUCUAACGAAUAAGCACCGGCUAACUCCGUGCCAGCAGCCGCGGUAAUACGGAGGGUGCAAGCGUUACUCGGAAUCACUGGGCGUAAAGAGCGCGUAGGCGGGAUAGCAAGUCAGAUGUGAAAUCCUAUGGCUUAACCAUAGAACUGCAUUUGAAACUGUUAUUCUAGAGUAUAGGAGAGGUAGGUGGAAUUCUUGGUGUAGGGGUAGAAUCCGUAGAGAUCAAGAAGAAUACUCAUUGCGAAGGCGACCUGCUAGAACAUAACUGACGCUGAUGCGCGAAAGCGUGGGGAGCAAACAGGAUUAGAUACCCUAGUAGUC
rnacentral:rRNA from 1 species